rnacentral:lncRNA from 1 species
CGCGGGCCGCCGCAGCCCGGCCUCGGCUUGCGACGCUCGCGGCGAGACGCCGCCGGUGCAGCUGCACCAGCGCUUGGGCUCGGGGGGCCCUGGGCGUCUGGGCCCGUCCGGGACUCCUCGCGCCGGCUCGGGGGGGGGUUCGUGUUCUCGGCCAGUCCCUUUUGCCAAAAGGAAGGGGGCGCUACAAGCCUCUGGAGGCGCCCGGCUAAGGAUGGAGGAGAAGGCGUGGAGGGGAGCGCGCGCCGGCCGCUCGGACGCGGUGGACACGUGGGGCGCCCGCACUUCUGCAGACAAGCAGCUGACACUCCCAGGCCAGAAAGCGGAGCCGUGGAUGCGAAGGCUGGCGACAGGAAAGCGCCCAGAGCAAGCCAGUCUGCAGAUGCCGCCUACCUGCCCCCNGUGCUGCUGAUUCCAGGGUUUUGCCCCGAUUCUGCGGGAAUUUAUUAUGCACAGUGUCAGGAUUCGCUUUGCGAUUCUGGAAGGGCUUCCAGUCGCAUAAAACGUCCCUGGGAGCAAUGGCAGCGUGGGGCGCCAGGGCUUGAAAAGAGCAAGGAGCACAAACAGGACCAGUUUGGGUGCAGAAGAAAUGCAAGCCAGUGGAUACCUCAGGAGCCCCCCGCAUUUCUGCAAGGAACGCCGGGUCAGCCUGUUGCGCACAGCUGGGAAGCCGCUGCCUCNGUGUCAGUUCAGGACACGUUUCUCGGCACCCUGCAGUCAGGUGGGGCAGUGACAUGUCGCAGGUCCCGCCUCAGCCGCAGUCCUUGUGCCGCAGGCUCAGCCUGUGUUACUGGGGGAAGAGAAGCCCUGGCCGUCCAGGUGCAGCUGAAUCUUGGCGUGCUCCUCUGUGAUUGUGGCCGGCUGAACCUGCUGCCGAAGGGCAGGGUGAAACAUCUGAAGUGUGGGAGGUUAUACACGCCACUGCUGCAUUGUACGGGAAGAGGAGUGGCCUUUUUGAAUCCUCCCCUGUGUCAAAGUUUGCCUGCAUGUGGAAAGUUGCGUGUCACUAAAAGGAAUCUUUUCUUUGACAUGCUAGAUUUCGACAUGCAGGGAGAGUUUAAUAUGGGGAUACCACAAAGCAAGCAAUCGUCUCAGUUGCAUCCUAUGGAAAUUCAGUGUCCACUCUCCUUAGGGAGGUAGAAUACGGGCUCACAGUCAUCUUCUUAACUGACCACCUAUUUUUGCUGUUGCUGAGCUAUCUAUCAGGUCACACUUCUUGAAGGCUUUUUUCCUGUUCCCCCCCCCCCAUCAGUUUCGGAAGGUCAUGUUUUAACUCUCAGAAUGUCGUCUUUUGAAGAAGAGUAAAGGACUGGAGGGAAUGAUUGUAUUUGCCAUACAGUGUUAAAGGAGAAGAAAUGAUUUUGUAAGUAUUUUUGUAAUUUUGGAAAAGGAAGGGGGUGUCUUGUUAAUUAUCAGUUAUUUUGGAAGAUUAGAAACAUAGUUCUUAUGUAAAAAAAAAAACUGUAAAAAGCAAUAUAUCAAUAACCAGCCUCUUUCAAAUACACAAGAAUGCAGGUCAGCUGAUUGAAA